rnacentral:rRNA from 1 species
CCUACGGGUGGCAGCAGUGAGGAAUAUUGCACAAUGGGCGAAAGCCUGAUGCAGCAACGCCGCGUGAGCGAUGAAGGCCUUCGGGUCGUAAAGCUCUGUCCUCAAGGAAGAUAAUGACGGUACUUGAGGAGGAAGCCCCGGACAACUACGUGCCAGCAGCCGCGGUAAUACGUAGGGCGCUAGCGUUCUCCGGAAUUACUGGGGGUAAAGGGUGCGUAGGUGGUUUCUUAAGUCAGAGGUGAAAGGCUACGGCUCAACCGGAGUAAGCCUUGGAUACUAGGGAACUUGAGUGCGGGAGAGGAGAGUGGAAUUCCUAGUGUAGCGGUGAAAUGCGUAGAUAUUAGGAGGAACACCAGUUGCGAAGGCGGCUCUCUGGACUGUAACUGACGCUGAGGCACGAAAGCGUGGGGAGCAAACAGGAUUAGAUACCCGUGUAGUC